rnacentral:lncRNA from 13 species
AGUGAGAAAAGGCCCAAAGCGAUUAAGGGAGUGAGAAAAGGUCCACUUGGGAUUAAAGUAGUGAUAAAAGGACCAAUAGGGAUUAAAGGAGUAAGAAAAGGCCCAAUAGGGAUUAAAGAAGUGAGCAAAUACCCAUUAGGGGUUAAAGGAGUGAGAAAAGGUCCACUUGGGAUUAAAGGUGUGAGAAAAGGCCCAAAGCGAUUAAAGGAUUUAGAAAAGGUCCACUUGGGAUUAAAGGAGUGAGAAAAGACCCAAUAGGUUAUUACAGGAGUGAGAAAAGGACCAAUACGAAUUAAAGGAGUGAGAAAAGGCCCAAAGCGAUUAAAGGAGUGAGAAAAGGUCCACUUCAGAUUAAAGGAGUGAGAAAAUGCCCAAUAGGGAUUAAAGGAGUGAGAAAAGGCCCAAUAGUGAUUAAAGGAGUGAGAAAAGGCCCAAAGAAAUUAAAGGAGUGAGCAAAGGUCCACUUAGGGUUAAAGGAGUGAGAAAAUGCCCAAUAGGGAUUAAAGGAGUGAGAAAAGGCCCAAAGCAAUUAAAGGAGUGAGGAAAGG